rnacentral:rRNA from 1 species
AGUGAACGCUGGCGGUAGGCCUAACACAUGCAAGUCGAACGGCAGCACAGUAAGAGCUUGCUCUUACGGGUGGCGAGUGGCGGACGGGUGAGGAAUACAUCGGAAUCUACUUUUUCGUGGGGGAUAACGUAGGGAAACUUACGCUAGUACCGCAUACGACCUACGGGUGAAAGCAGGGGAUCUUCGGACCUUGCGGGAUUGAAUGGGCCGAUGUCGGAUUAGCUUGUUGGCGGGGUAGAGGCCCACCAAGGCGACGAUGGGUAGCUGGUCUGAGAGGAUGGCCGGCCACAUUGGGACGGAGGUACGGCCCAGACUGCUAGGGGAGGCAGCAGUGGGGAAUAUUGCACAAUGGGCGGAAGCCUGAUGCAGCAGCGCCGCGUGCGGGAUGACGGCCUUCGGGUUGUAAACCGCAUUCGCCUGUGACGAAGCGUGAGUGACGGUAAUGGGUAAAGAAGCACCGGCUAACUACGUG